ACUAAAUUUAUUUCAUUAUUAAAUGGAACUUAAUGUUUUAUUGUAGGUCCUUGAUGAGUACUUUUAUCACACUGCAGGAGGUGCCUGCAUAGGUUUUACAUUACUGUAGUCUAAGGAAUGGAAUAUGUAGGUAUGAUUCAAGGUUACAUCUAUAUUCAUUUGAUGGGUAUGUCAUUAUAAGCAUGGCCACAAUUAUGAAUGACAACACUGUGCAUGUUCAUGUACGUAAUCAAUAUGUCCACGUUAAUGGCUACUUAGGAAUAUUAAUAGAAACUAAAGCAUUGGAGCAUUUUUGUCUUGUCAAACACUGCAUUGCUAAUGUAUUUUAAUCUUGGCUAAACGCUGGUGCAUUUU